CUACUUCUACUAGUUCGAAAAGAAGUGCAACUCAAAAGAAGAAUCCCUGGCAAUAAAGGGCUACUCAUAACAAGUAACUUCUAUUUAUCAGCUUCAUGAUAGGAAACUUCAUACGAUGAGUAGCUUCAUGUGAAAGGAUUAUGCUUUAAACGCAGUCCUCUUAGGUUUUCCUUCAAGUUUUGAAUUGCGUUGAUAUUAUACAGAGAAGACGAUUGUCCCGGAGCUCCUUUUUUGAUAGACUUAGCAAGGAAUCACAUGUAUCUAUUGCUCGCAUCAAAUUAGUCUACAUUUUGCUCAUCUGAGUCUCAACACCCUAUAGUUGUAACUGAGACUUUUGAAGUGUUAAAACUAUCAGCUGAUAUUAGUGUUAUACAUGUUUUUUCACUUUGCUAAUUCUCUCAAGUCCAUUACUUUUUAAACUUUUACAUGCAUAAUUUAGGCCUGUAUUCAAGGGAG
rnacentral:lncRNA from 1 species